rnacentral:rRNA from 1 species
CCUACGGGAGGCAGCAGUGGGGAAUAUUGGGCAAUGGAGGAAACUCUGACCCAGCAACGCCGCGUGAGUGAUGAAGGUCUUCGGAUUGUAAAGUUCUUUUCUACGGGCAGCAGAAAGUGACGGUACCUUAGGAAUAAGCCUCGGCUAACUACGUGCCAGUAGCCGCGGUAAUACGUCGGAGGCGCGCGUUAACCGGAAUGACUGGGCGUAAGGGGUGCGUAGGUGGUUUGGCAAGUUAGUAGCGAAACUCCAAGGCUCAACCGUGGAAAAACUGCUAAAACUGUUGGACUUGAGUGCAGGAGAGGCAACCGGAAUGCCUAGUGUAGCGGUGGAAUGCAGAGAUAUAAGGAGGAACACCAGUGGCGAAGGCGGGAUGCUGGACUGUAACUGACGCUGAGGCUCGAAAGCGUGGGGAGCAAACAGGAUUAGAUACCCCUGUAGUC